rnacentral:rRNA from 1 species
UACGUAGGGGGCGAGCGUUGUCCGGAAUUACUGGGCGUAAAGCGUGCGCAGGCGGUUAUGUAAGACAGUUGUGAAAUCCCCGGGCUCAACCUGGGAACUGCAUCUGUGACUGCAUAGCUAGAGUACGGUAGAGGGGGAUGGAAUUCCGCGUGUAGCAGUGAAAUGCGUAGAUAUGCGGAGGAACACCGAUGGCGAAGGCAAUCCCCUGGACCUGUACUGACGCUCAUGCACGAAAGCGUGGGGGAGCAAACAGG